GUUAGGAAUAUUCGUCAAUGGGGGAAACCCUGAACGAGCAAUGCCGCGUGAGUGAUGAAGGUCUUAUAGAUUGUAAAACUCUGUUGUAAAGGAAGAACGACCACUAUAGGAAAUGAUAGUGGAGUGACGGUACUUUACCAGAAAGCCCCGGCUAACUACGUGCCAGCAGCCGCGGUAAUACGUAGGGGGCGAGCGUUAUCCGGAUUUAUUGGGCGUAAAGGGUGCGUAGGCGGUUUAUUAAGUUUAAGAUAAAAGCCCGGAGCUUAACUCCGGUUCGUCUUAAAAACUGGUAGACUUGAGUAUAGUAGAGGCAAGUGGAAUUUCUAGUGUAGCGGUUAAAUGCGUAGAUAUUAGAAGGAACACCAGUGGCGAAGGCGACUUGCUGGGCUAUUACUGACGCUGAGGCACGAAAGCGUGGGGAGCAAAUAGGA
rnacentral:rRNA from 1 species